rnacentral:rRNA from 1 species
AGUGAAUAGAUACCCAGGUAGUCCACGCCGUAAACGAUGAGUACUAGGUGUAGGGGGUAUCGACCCCCCUGUGCCGCAGUAAAAACACAAAUAAGUACUCCGCCUGGGAAGUACGAUCGCAAGAUUAAAACUCAAAGGAAUUGACGGGGACCCGCACAAGCAGCGGAGCAUGUGGUUUAAAUUCGAAGCAACGUGAAGACCUUACCUGGACUUGACAUCCCCUGAAUAACUCGUAAUGGAGGAAGCCCUUCGGGGCAGGGAGACAGGUGGUGCAUGGUUGUCGUCAGCUCGUGUCGUGAGAUGUUAGGUUAAGUCCUGCAACGAGCGCAACCCCUGUCGUUAGUUGCCAUCACGUAAAGGUGGGCACCCUAACGAGACUGCCGCGGUUAACGUGGAGGAAGGUGGGGAUGACGUCAAAUCAUCAUGCCCCUUAUGUCCAGGGCAACACACGUGCUACAAUGGGCAGAACAGAGAGAAGCAAUACCGCGAGGAGGAGCAAAUCUCAAAAACUGCCCCAGUUCGGAUUGCAGGCUGAAACCCGCCUGC